rnacentral:ncRNA from 1 species
GAAAUUCCGUAUUAAAGUUGUGCAAAGCCCUCGGGUGGAGCGCCGCCUAUCGAAAGGGAAUCGGGUUAAUAUUCCUGAACCUCGACGAGGAUAAUGAAGGCGGCAACGCAAAUGAACUACGCGACGUCAGCUGGAGCCCUGAGAUAAGUUCACUUUUCUUUUUAACGAAUCAUUACCAUGAAAUCUAUUUAUUUGGAGCUAUGGUUUAAUAUUCGGUAAAGCAGUCUACUUCUUGGACUGUCCGGUGCGCUCCAGAUGACCCGUGAAAAGCGUAGGGAAGGAUUUCUUUUCUCGCGAGGUCGUACUCAUAACCGCAGCAGGUCUCCAAGGUGAAAAGCCUCUAGUUGAUGGAAUAAUGUAGGUAAGGGAAGUCGGCAAAUUAGAUCCGUAACUUCGGGAUAAGGAUUGGCUCUUAGGGUUGGGCUAGUCGAGCCCUUGUUUGAAGCAUUACGGACCGCAACUGGACUAGGCCGCAAGGCCCGGACCGGAUCUGGACUGUUUGUGGAAGGCUUGGGUAGUGCUUGCACGUUUGGCUAGCGAUUAACAACCAACUAAGAACUGGUACGGACAAGGGGAAUCCGACUGUUUAAUUAAAAGAAAGCAUUGCGAUGGCCGGAAAUGGUGUUGACGCAAUGUGAUUUCGAAAUUCAACCAAGCGCGGGUAAACGGCGGGAGUAACUAUGACA